rnacentral:rRNA from 1 species
AACUAACGCUGGCAGUGCGUCUUAAGCAUGCAAGUCAAACGGGAUGUAGCAAUACAUCUAGUGGCGAACGGGUGAGUAACGCGUGGAUGAUCUACCUACGAGAUGGGGAUAACUAUUAGAAAUAGUAGCUAAUACCGAAUAAAGUCAAUUAAUUUGUUAAUUGAUGAAAGGAAGCCUUUAAAGCUUCGCUUGUAGAUGAGUCUGCGUCUUAUUAGCUAGUUGGUAGGGUAAAUGCCUACCAAGGCGAUGAUAAGUAACCGGCCUGAGAGGGUGAACGGUCACACUGGAACUGAGAUACGGUCCAGACUCCUACGGGAGGCAGCAGCUAAGAAUCUUCCGCAAUGGGCGAAAGCCUGACGGAGCGACACUGCGUGAAUGAAGAAGGUCGAAAGAUUGUAAAAUUCUUUUAUAAAUGAGGAAUAAGCUUUGUAGGAAAUGACAARGUGAUGACGUUAAUUUAUGAAUAAGCCCCGGCUAAUUACGUGCCAGCAGCCGCGGUAAUACGUAAGGGGCGAGCGUUGUUCGGGAUUAUUGGGCGUA